AAGUUUAAGUCAAACAAUAUCAAGUGGACAACAAUUAAGUGCCCAAGACAACCCAACGGCAAUGAUUGUGGAUAUUAUGUGUGUCAAUAUAUGAAGGAAAUUAUUACAUACUGUGAAGGAGGAACAAUUCCAACUGAUUAUUUUUCUAGUUGCAGAUGCCAACAUUAUCAUGAAAGUCAGAUCAAUG